UACGUAGGGGGCAAGCGUUGUCCGGAUUUAUUGGGCGUAAAGAGCGUGUAGGCGGUUAGGUAGGUCCGUUGUGAAAACUCGAGGCUCAACCUCGAGCUGUCGGUGGAAACCGUGUGGCUAGAGUCCGGAAGAGGAGAGUGGAAUUCCCGGUGUAGCGGUGAAAAUGCGCAGAUAUCGGGAAAGAACACCCGUGGCGAAGGCGGCUCUCUGGGACGGUACUGACGCUGAGACGCGAAGCGUGGGAGCGAACAGGA
rnacentral:rRNA from 1 species